CCAUGGCUGUGAUGAUUAACAGCUUCAGCAAACAUGCCAGUUCUGCUUCUGAGAAUUCAUGACUGAAAAAUCUGUUAACAAGAUCUGAGCCAUUU
rfam:Triticum aestivum genome assembly, contig: Triticum_aestivum_CS42_TGACv1_scaffold_578614_7BL